UCUUGGUCAUUUAGAGGAAGUAAAAGUCGUAACAAGGUUUCCGUAGGUGAACCUGCGGAAGGAUCAUUAUCGAAAAUACAGGGCUGUUGCUGGUCCUCAGGACAUGUGCACGCCUGUUGUUUUUAUUUUUCCAACUGUGCACUUGUUGUAGACCUGGAGUCUUUUUAUUGUUGGAAUAGAUUUAGGACUGCCAUGUGGCUUUGCCUUGCAUUUCCAGGUCUAUGUUGUAAUAUUUUUCACACAAAUGAAUGUUGAGUACUGGGGAACAUGAAAUAAUACAACUUUCAGCAACGGAUCUCUUGGCUCUCGCAUCGAUGAAGAACGCAGCGAAAUGCGAUAAGUAAUGUGAAUUGCAGAAUUCAGUGAAUCAUCGAAUCUUUGAACGCAUCUUGCGCUCCUUGGUAUUCUGAGGAGCAUGCCUGUUUGAGUGUCAUGAGAAGUUCUCAACCACNCCGGUUUUCUUCGUCGGUGUAGCUUGGAUUUGAGGGUUUUUGCAGGCUUUGAACAGAAGCCGGCUCCCUUGAAAAGGAUGAGUGGUAUAUCUGCUCACCAUGGGUGUGAUAAUUGUGUCUAUSCCUUGNNGUAUGCAGGANCCAACAKAGUAGUUUUUUUUGACGAAUUUGACCUCAAAUCAGGUAG
rnacentral:rRNA from 1 species